AGAGUUUGAUCAUGGCUCAGGACGAACGCUGGCGGCGUGCCUAACACAUGCAAGUCGAACGCCCUGUUUCGGCAGGGAGUGGCGGACGGGUGAGGAACACGUGGGUACCUGCCCUUCAGUGAGGAAUACCGGCGAGAAAUCGCCGACAAUACCGCAUACGCUUCGCAAGAAGCAAAGCUCGCAAGAGCGCUGGAGGAUGG
rnacentral:rRNA from 1 species